AGAGAUCGAGCAAGGGAAACAUGAUAUCUACCUCAUCAAAUCCAAGCUAAAAUCAGAAAAUAUGACGACAACUUCUCUACAAGAAAAAACCACUACACUAUCACUCCAACACGGUGAAGUGGAGCAAAAUGGUGGCACGUGGAGAUGCGUGGUUAAAGGCCAUGAGCCCAACUCAUUUUUGUUUUUCUCCCGUUGAGUGGAUGAUGGAUCCUAUUAAUUAUUGCUUCCCUGCAAAAAUAGCUUCAGUCAUGCUUAUUUGUUUUAGA
rnacentral:lncRNA from 1 species